rnacentral:rRNA from 1 species
GACGAACGCUGGCGGCGUGCUUAACACAUGCAAGUCGAACGAAGUGGCGAACGGGUGAGUAACGCGUAAUCAACCUGCCCUUCAGAGGGGGAUAACAGUUGGAAACGACUGCUAAUACCGCAUACUGAAGGAGGGGAUUGCGUCGGAUUAGCUAGUUGGGGGGGUAACGGCCCACCAAGGCGAUGAUCAGCAGCCGGUCUUGGAGGAUGAACGGCCACAUUGGGACUUAGACACGGCCCAGACUCCCACGGGAGGCAGCAGUUGGGAAGCUUCCGCAAUGGACGAAAGUCUGACGGAGCAACGCCGCGGGAGUGAUGACGGCCUUCGGGUUGUAAAGCUCUGUUAAUCGGGACGCGGUACCGGAAUAGAAAGCCACGGCUAACUACGUGCCAGCAGCCGCGGUAAUUC